UACGUAGGGUGCAAGCGUUGUCCGGAAUUACUGGGCGUAAAGGGCGCGUAGGCGGGUCGUUUAGUUAGAGGUGAAAGCCCAGGGCUCAACCCUGGAAUUGCCUUUAAUACUGGCGGCCUUGAGUAUGGCAGAGGUGUGUGGAACUCCGAGUGUAGAGGUGAAAUUCGUAGAUAUUCGGAAGAACACCGGUGGCGAAGGCGGCUCACUGGCUCGUAACUGACGCUCAUGCACGACAGCGUGGGGAUCAAACAGG
rnacentral:rRNA from 1 species